rnacentral:lncRNA from 1 species
GAAGUUUGGAGGUUUUCCUAGAGGCUGCUGGUACCAGGCUAAUGCACUGCCAUUACCCUGACUGACCCUGCAGCUGAUGGUGACUCCCUCCCAGAGCCACAGACAGGGAGGCUGGAGUCUGGGUCAUCACAAUGGCUGUCCUGGACUCUGGGAUGGGAAGAAGAAAGGAGAAAAAGCAGAUUCAGGACAGUGCCUCCUGGCUGCUUUAAUACAGCAGAGGACUUUGGCUGAUGGUGAGUGUCUCUCCCAGAGCCACAGACAGGGAGGCUGGAGUCUGGGUCAUCACAAUGGCUGUCCUAGACUCUGGGAUGGGAAGAAGAAAGGAGGAAAAGCAGAUUCAGUUCCACUGCAGGGGACCCAAAGGCCAUGGAAAGGUGCAAGAUCAUGAAUGGAAGAGGAUGCACAUGUACCAGCAAUGACUUGUUGCUUAGCGAUUUCUCAUUACACAAUUAAAUUCAUGUCUCACUCAUCAGAAUUAAAGGCUGUCUGAGCAGGUGGCAGGAAUGACAGCCCUUGACAGAAUCAGGAACACAAUUCAUAGCCUCAAAAUACUUAGAGAAUUGGAGGAAGGUCCCCAGUGUGUCCAAUUGUUCUUCUGAAUGAGCUUUGUGUAAGGUCAUGCAUGUGAACUACACAGGACAGAAGUCUUGGAGGAUUUUUAUUCCUCAUAGGGACUGAUGAGAUUACCAUUCUCUCAGUUUCUAAAAAUCUAUUCCUGGAAGUUUCCUAAGAAUCUCCCCUAUCUACUUCCCUGGUUCCUCUUCCAUUCUACCAAUAUUGGGUGAGAAAAGACCCUUCCUCCUGGGCAAAACUAAUCUUUUUGCUGAUAGUUACAUUCCUAAAGCCCCUGGUCACCAUUUUAAUCUGAUGAAUUUUCUCAAAGUUUUCCUCAAUUAACAUUCCUCAAAAAAUCUGGAUCAGAAAUGUAUUUGGGGGGAAUAGACAUAGCACAUGACAUUUCACUUUGGGUCAUUCCCUGAUUCAGGCGACUCCUUCCUGGUCUACAUGAACCAUCAUGGAAUGCUUUAAAAUGAAGGUAAAGUGGAAUAAAUAGGUCCAGGUGUAAUAACA